rnacentral:ncRNA from 1 species
ACCUCGAUGUCGGCUCUUCGCCACCUUGGUCGGUGGUACGUUCCAAGGGUUGGGCUGUUCGCCCAUUAAAGCAGUACUUGAGCUGGGUUCAGAAUGUUGGGAGACAGUUC